rnacentral:rRNA from 1 species
GNCGCGUUUUAAGCAUGCAAGUCGAACGGUAGAGAGGUGCUUGCACCUCUUGAGAGUGGCGAACGGGUGAGUAACACGUAGGUGAUCUACCUCUGGAUUGGGGAUAGCCUGUGGAAACACAGGAUAAUACCGAAUACGAGCUUGUGACUGUGGUUGCAAGCGGAAAGGCCCUAAGGGAUCGUCCGGAGAUGAGCNUGCGGUCCAUUAGCUGGUUGGUGUGGUAAUGGCGCACCAAGGCAACGAUGGAUAGCCGGCCUGAGAGGGUGAUCGGCCACACUGGGACUGAGACACGGCCCAGACUCCUACGGGAGGCAGCAGCUAAGAAUCUUCCGCAAUGGGCGAAAGCCUGACGGAGCGACGCCGCGUGAACGAAGAAUGUCGUGAGAUUGUAAAGUUCUUUUCCUGGGGAGGAAUAAUGCUUGGAGGGAGUGCCGAGCAGAUGACGUGAACCAGGGAAUAAGCCCCGGCUAAUUCCGCGCCAGCAGCCGCGGUAACACGGAAGGGGCAAGCGUUGUUCGGAUUUAUUGGGCGUAAAGGGCGUGUAGGCGGCAGUAAAAGUCUGGUGUGAAAUACUUCGGCUCAACCGAAGAGACGCGCUGGAAACUGCACUGCUUGAGUUUAGGAGGGGGAGCUGGAAUUCCUGGUGUAGGGGUGAAAUCUGUAGAGAUCAGGAAGAACACCGGAGGCGAAGGCGAGCUCCUGGCCAUAGACUGACGCUGAGGCGCGAAAGCGUGGGGAGCGAACAGGAUUAGAUACCCUGGUAGUCCACGCCGUAAACGAUGUGCACUAGGUGUCGGGGAUGAUGAUCCUCGGUGCCGCAGCUAACGCGUUAAGUGCACCGCCUGGGGAGUAUGCUCGCAAGGGUGAAACUCAAAUGAAUUGACGG